rnacentral:rRNA from 1 species
UACACACCGCCCGUCACACCAUGGGAGUUGACUCAACCUUAAGCCGUGACCCUAACUCGCAAGAGGAGGGAGCGUCCACGGUGGGGUCGAUGACUGGGGUG